GGGAACCCCGGGCGGCAGGUGCGCCCUUGCCGCCCGGGGCCGGGGGCCGGUCCAGAGGCUGGAGAGACCGGCCAGGUCUGCGGAGAAGCAUCUUCCGGCUGCUUGCACAGGGUUCAGUUGAUGAAGCAGGAGCGGGAGGGAAGCCCGGCGGGGACCGGGCAAGCUCUCGUCGAGCCGGGGCUUCUUCUGGCUCGUGCGCCUCGCCAGGCACGAGCAGGGUUAAGUGUGUGCGGGGGGCGGAGAGGGAAUCCCAGACCGCCGGAACUGGAGACUUCCCAGCCGAGGGCGAGGCUGCUUCGAGAGGCAGCGCCGGCCACCCUGCGGCUUCCGCCGGCACCUGGGCGCGCGGAGUCGGGAGGACACGUCGACAGCCGCCCGCAGGACACGCGGCAGACGCGCCACGGCCGCCGCCAGGGCCGACAAUAAGCUCUGAGCCGGGAACCUGGGACCUGUGCCGUGACAGGGUUGGCUGGCGGCCCAGAGAGAAGAGCCGUGUGGAGCCGAAGAGGCGGGUGGACCGCACGGCCCUGGAGCAGAGAUACCGGCCUGUGACCAGGGACCGCAAGGUAGGGGACGGCUUCCUUUUCUCUUUGGAGUUUGAUUUGCGCCACGUCCUGUCUUGUUUCCCUUGUUCUUUACUGGUUAUGUUGUACGUGGUUAAAGCUGAGCUGCUGUCCAUCGGUACGUCCGUUCUCUGUUCUUGUUGGCAGGUGGUUAGUGUUGAGCGGUGUCCGAACUCCGGUCACGUCUGUGUCCGCGUCGGCGGGUGGUUGUCUGUGUCCACGUGGCAGGUGCUUGGUAUUGAGUUGGUGUGCGUUCUCGGGUCAGGUCUGUGUCCACAUCGGCAGGGGCUUAGAGCUGAGCCAGUGUCUGAGCGCCGGUCAGUGGGGCACAGAUCGUGGUUCUCGGUUCGUGCUGAGCUGAUGUCAGCGCUCGGUUUGGGGUGGUUGUGGAUGAAGAGACAUGAUCCAGGCGUUUGGGUGGCUCUCACAGUGGACCGGGGACAGGACGCUUGUCUUGUCUGA
rnacentral:lncRNA from 1 species